AACAUGGUUCUCUUAUCAAUUAGUUUUCAUUGUCAUGCUCUCUUUGUUGGUAACUAACACAAAUAAUUUGCAAUUCAUAUGACUACGUUUCAGUUGCCAAAUGUUGAAAAAAUGAAUGGGAAAUCCAUAACCCAAUGAAUUCCUAAUAGAUUUCCAUUUUUUAUCAGUCUUUCUAAAACCAUUUCUAUCUUGGUUCAGCUAAAGAUCAAUAAUAUAUUUCAAGACAUAGUGCUGUGUAGCGUGUAAAUCUACAUGCUGAUGCAUUACAGGAUAUUAAUUAUAAUCGGAGCA
rnacentral:misc_RNA from 1 species